AGACCCCUGUAUCUAGUUCAGUAGGGGAUUUUGUGAAAUCAGACAGAUGGAAACACAAACUUGUCUGUCAUGUUUCCAUUUUGGAGCCCUUUAUUGGCAUGAAUGGUCAUCUGAAAGGGCCAAGCUGCUAGAGAUCAUUCAAGGGCUCAAAGGCAGCCCUCCACUUAUGGUGCUUGACUAAAUGCUGCCACGUGCAGACAGAAGCACAACGGAGAGACAAGGAAGCACUCUCUGGCUCUCCCAAGACACCCUUCCCACAUUUGCACAGCGUUAGACACUACACACAAGUCUGCCUCUUCUUGCAGCCCUGUUGAUGUGUGGAUGUGAAGGGCUCUUCUGAUGUCUGACUGAGCUAUUCCUUCCGUAUUAAUAUAUUUCCACCCACCUUCUCUCCCUGUGUACGCCUAUUGAGCUGAGAGCUUGCACUCAGUAGGAUUUGUCAGGCAAGGUAGAUUUAAUAUUCUGCAACGAGUGUCACACUGACAGUCACUUUGGGGGACCAUUUGAGGGUUUGGGGCUGUUUUUGUUUUGUUUUUUAACACGUAGCCCUCUUUAAGGGAGAAAGUCUCCAUCUUAUCCACUCCCCCGCACACGUUCUCAUUGUGUUCUCACCCGGAAAGAGCAAAUGUCUGGGGUUUCUGAGCACCUCCUGCCCUGCCACAUCCUGGUUUCUCUUUAAUGAGCCAUCCAUUUGAGCAGAAUGAUCCAGGAAAAGAAAAGAAAGCCCUGGAAUUCUCCCAAGUCUCAGGUGGGCUUUGAGACUUGGCAGUAUGGAGGAGAGGUGGUGACUCAACAUUGCUUCUGGUCGGAAAACACCUGGGCGUUUUCAGUUGUCUGUUGCUUAGUUAGCGGGGGGGGGGGGGGUUGGGGGGAGGGGGGACACCACAUUUUGUAGUGUAAGAUUCAGAAAGUGGAGCCUGUGAAAUAGGGAAAGGCAAGAAGUUGAUGAGUCUGUACUCCAGGUGCAAGUUCAGCCUGAGUUUAUCAUCUCUGCCCUGCCUCUGCCUGGCCUGAAGUAUUAAACUAUCCUGGGGCCUCUCUUUGUUUGCCUUGAGUUUUCUCUAAUCAGCAUUGUCUGGAAUGUGGGGGGAGCAGGAAGCAAAGCCCAAAGGGUGUGUGGGAGUCUGCUGCAAGGUCUGCAAAGCUGGGGCUUUGGGUGAUUAGCAGUCUGCCCUUGGAAGACUGCUCUUGCCUAUGUUCCUGCCCUGCAGAAGGAAGCCUGAUUGAGGCUUAAUUAUUUCCCUGUUCUCAUGCAAGCCUAGCAGCAGCAGCAAGAAUUGCCUCCAGGGCAGGGCAGUGGCAGGUUGAUUCCUGGGGGGGCAAGGAAGUGAUCUUGCGAAAAGAGACCUUUCACUUCUUCAGAUCAGAGAAGAACUAACUCACAGAUCCUUUCUGUAAAAACAGAAACAACCCCUCCCGGAAAAUGACCGGUCCUCAGGAGCUCCAACCAUCCUCAGUUGCUGUUACUCCAAAGGAAGAAGAAGAGGAAGAACAGGUUUUCUGCUUUUCCCCUUCCCAUCUCAUUUGCAUCAUGAACUCUUAUCUGCUUCAUAGGCUGCUAGUAACACCACUGCAUCUUUCAAGGGCUGAGUAGGAUGGCUUACGAUGCUCAGAAGCAAUUGUGCAAUUGCUUAAAACAUAGCAUGAGUAGAAGUGAUGGGAAAUUAGUAGGUUAUCUGAUGAUGUUGCUAUCCAAGGCAAGAGAGGCUUUUAACAUCAUCCCCUAGCAAAGUGCACGGGUAAUUCCCUUCCUCUGCAAGUAUUUGCGCUAUUGUUUCUUGGAUGGAUGUGUGUAUGUGUAUUUAAUAUUUUUACUAAAGAUCUGCUCAAAUCAAGUCCAGGUCUUCUGUGUGUGUGUGUGUGUGUGUGUGUGUGUGUGUAAGUGUUUAAUACAGGGGUGGCCAACCUAUGGUGCUCCGGAUGUUCAUGGACUACAAUUCCCAUCAGCCCCUCCCAGCAUGGCUGAUGGGAAUUGUAGUCCAUGAACAUCUGGAGAGCCGCAGGUUGGCCACCCCUGAUAUUUACCAAGUAAAGAAAAGUGUUAGGAUAGCUAGCAAGUUAUAUCCACCCCACCCACAUUUUUGGGUGGAGGGGGAUGCCUCAUUAGUCUGCAGUGUCAAACACAACCCUUGUCAGCUGGCCAAAUUUGACAUAAGCCUGGAGGUGCUCAGAGCUCUUUGCAAAACUGAAUCGACCAGCAAGACACAUCAGCCAAGCACACAGACUGGCCGCUUAACUGGCCAAGACAGAGAAACUGAAAUUGCCUGUCAGCCUUUUUCAAUAAGCAAAAACGUAAGAAUUUUUUAAAAAAAAUAUAGCAAGUUUUCUCACAAGGUUACUUAACAGUGUUCAUGAAAGGUUGCUUCCCCCCACCCCUUGCAAGAAAGGCUGUUUGUUUUUUGUGUGCCUGUUGUCUUAAGGCUAUCCGAGUAGCCAGAUGCCUGCGUAUCAGAAAAGGGGAACUCUUUUCCUUUGCUUCUUUCUCACCUUUCUUUCCUCCCUUCAGCUGAAGUCCCCCUAAGUCAGGGGUGGCCAACCUAUGGCGCUCCAGAUGUUCAGGGGCUGAUGGGAAUUGUAGUUCAUGAACAUCUGGAGCGCCAUAGAUUGGCCCCCGUGCCCUAAGUUGUGUGUUUCUUAGCACAGUAGAACUAGCCAGUAAUUCAAAACAUCCAGGAUUUCUAAGCCAUUCGUGCUGCAUUUGGAUAUCUUCUGAAUGGCUCCUACCUCUUUGCUCUUUACUUCCUGGUCUCAGUGUUUCAGUAGCAAAUCAGAACAGUGGUGUUAGCUCUUUUUGGUGUCUUAUAUUUUGAGGCUGUGGGGUGUAUGUGUUUGGGGAGAGGUUUGAAUCUCAGAUCUGGGGUAUUCACCAUAGGUUUGUAACUUGCAUGGGCAUUUCAUUUUUGUCCCCGUUCCGCCCUACCCACCCCCCACUCCCCGUACCAGCUUUAUUAUUAAUUGAGUACUUCCUCUCUGAAUUCAUCAUGGGCCAAGUUCAUGGUGAGACAUUCAAUUUGCAGGUGCAGUCUUCUGAUGCAGGCCGUUCUUAGCACACUGUCAAAAAAAAUGAAUUGUUGCCCAGUGUCGCCUAGGAGAAAUAAAAUACAGAGAGGAAGAAUUAAUUUUGUUUUAAUUAAACUCAUUAAUUUUUUGAUUAACGGUCUGCUUUUUACCUGGGGUGGCAUCUAAAUCUUUUCUUGGCUAUAUGAACUGCAAUGGCACUUUGUCUCCUCCCAUCAGGGGGAACAGUGAAAAAGGCAGGGGACGGGGAGCAGGAGGGAGACAGUGGAUCCACCCGACAAGGUUUGAAUCUUCUGAGAUCCUCCAGUCUGUUAAGAUGCCUUUUGAGGGAAGCAUAUGCCUUCACCACAGCGUUAAGAGUUCCCAUCUGCAGCUGAAUAUUAAGCUGUAUUAUGAGUGUUGGUAUUCUUGUUCUCCAGUUUUCGUUUUCAUGGAGUCCUUUAAAGAUAACUCCGUAACCGUUCUGGAGGUAGAUUAACACUGGGAGCCUUUUUGUGUUUCCGAGAGGCAAAAGGCACAAUUCACCAGCAGUGUCUCCACAUAAGUACAUUUGAGCCACGCAACACCCCUCCUCAAGGAAAGAAGGGAGACCUUUCUCUAUCACUUUGAAAGCAAAAGCCCAGAUUUCGUACCUUCUGAGAGCUGGUUCCUGUGGUUGUCCCCGUCACAGCCAGGUGCUUUGUUUUUCCUCCCUGGCUGGAAACGAGCCGUGCUUUGGCCAGACAGCUGGACUGACCUGUUUCUAAUAUUCUGUUUCUAAUAUUCUGAAAUAUUCUCCCAGGUAAAGGGUUGUAGCAGCAUCUGAAACGGCUUCUGCUUCUGUGGAGUGCUUGGUUGGAUCCAGGCAAAAGGGCAAACCAGACACUAUGAGAAGCAGCUCUGGCAGAUGGCAGCUGAGGUUCGGGGGAGGGGCCAGGGAGAUGGAUGGAGGUUCAAUUUAAGCAGCAUUUAGAACCUUAACUUGCAAGAAAAAGGGACUUUUCUUGGGGGUGGUGCGUCUGCUCUGCCAUCCCAAACAUGCUGCCAAUCAUAGCAGAUUGUCAGUUACCACACGUGUGUGAGAGUGUGUGAGUAUGAGCCACCCUUUUUGGUGACAUUUUAGCCAAGACUUCUGACUCCCUCCCCUUAGCUACAUUAUGCUGAUUUUUAAAAUGCGUACAAUGUUUUUAAAAGAAGAAGCUGUUUGUCGUACAGUUUGACAUGUUACAAAACAAACCUCUCUCCUUUUCCCUGUAUCCCUCAUCCCACUCUUUCAUACUUCUUGUAUUGGUUCUAAUAAAUGGUUACUUUUCAA